rnacentral:lncRNA from 1 species
UUAAAAGUAGGCCCUGUGUACUUUCGCACGUAUUCACAGGCUUGUGAUGAUGGAGCUGUGGCUGGAUUUUGGGUCUGAGCAUACUACUCUCGGUAUUUGGAGACCUCCGUAAGAACCUAUGAUAAUAUCCAUUGAAAAUGGACAUUUUUAAAGAUUGGAAUGAUCUCGUUCUUGAAACCUAGGUACUCUAUGUUGAAGAUGCCUGGACUAACCUACUGAAGAUACGUGGUUUUACCAACAGCCAGCACCAAUAGGAAGAUAUGAAUGAAGCCAUCUGAGACCAGCCAUCUGGCAGCCAAACUGCCAACUGACUGCAAAUGCAUGAAUGAUCCCACUGACACCACGUAGAGCACAAAUGAGUUGCCUCCACUGAGCCCAGCCCAAAUUGUUAUCCUAUAAAAUCAUAAAAACAUAAACAGUUGUUUUAAGUCACUAAGUUUUGGAUAGUUUGUUAUACAACAAAAGCUAGCUGAAACAAAUGUAUUAGCUAGAGCAGCUGUGAAUGGCACUAUUUGCUUAGUUGAUUGGCUGAAAUUUGGACUCACUGGUAGGUUACAUUUAAUGGUGUUGAGUUGCCAGAAUUUCUCUGGAAUAAUGUAUAGGAAGGAUUCUAAUGGCCUAAGCCAUUAGAAUCUCUAAGGAGAUAGAAAUAAAGGAGUGAUUUAUUAUAUGUAACUGUGCCUCUUCCCUCACCACACUUGGUCCUGAAAGAGCCUAAGGAAUAGUUUCUUCUCUAAAGCAUUGAAAAAUGCUUUAAUGGGAGAAGCCCCAGCACCCUUGAACAUGUUCAGGCAGCUGCUUUCUAUAGGCCAAGGAUGUGGUGGGAAAAUCUGCCUGAUCUCAAUGUAGAUGAUGAGAUCCCAGAGUAGCGAUCAGCAUUUUUUACCAGCAGGAAUAAUCUUUGGUGGUGGUUGGCUCUAAGAAUUAAAUAGAUGUGGGCCGGGCGUGGUGGCUCAUGCUUGAAAUCCCAGCACUUUGGGAGGCUGAGGUGGGUGGAUCACCCAAGGUUGGGAGUUCAAGACCAGCCUGACCAACAUGGAGAAACCCCGCCUCUACUAAAAAUACAAAAUUAUUUUUGUAUGGUGGCACAUGCCUGUAAUCCUAGCUACUCAGGAGGCUGAGGCAGGAGAAUCGCUUGAACCCGGGAGGCGGAGGUUGCAGUGAGCUGAGAUUGUGCCAUUGCACUCCAGCCUGGGCAACAAGAGUGAAACUCCGUCACACACACACACAAAAAAAGAAUUAAAUAGAUAAUAGAUGUGUAGCCUGCCAAAGCAUUACUUGAUCUGUAUAAUAGAAACCAGACCUGAGGUAACACAUGCAUGGUGAUAUGUGCCUAUAGUCCCAGCUACUCAGGAAGCUGAGGUGGGAGAAUCACUUGAGCCUGGGAGGUCAAGGCUACAGUGAGCCAUGAUUGUACCACUGCACUCCAGCCUGGGAGACAGAGUGAGACCCUGUCUCAAAAUAAAAUAAAAUAAUAAAAUAAAAUAAAAUAAAAUAAAUAGUUUUUAAAGAUUUUGGCUUAAAAGGGUUACAAAUUUUCUAAAGUCACAUAAUAUAUAAAAACAAAUCUGGAUAAUACUGAAUUGUUCUGCUCAUCUAUAAUAUUAUUUUAUGAAGUAAGUUUCAAUAUAAACUUGAAAGAAAACUGACACAAUUUUUUUAAAAAAUAGACAUAAUUUGUUAAUUAAACUCCAUGCAUAAUUAUUAAGGAGGAAAGCAUUCAUGUUUCUUGGAUGUUUCUUAUAUGCUACAUGCUUAUUUUCAUUUAAUUCUCACAAUAAUUCUGUGAGAGAGGUGUUAUUGUUAGGAUAUCUGUAAAUAGAUGAAGACAUUGAGGCUUUAAAAAGUUGAUCUUUUAAAAAAUUGAAUUAUUAAGGAAAGAUUAUACAACUAGAGAAUGAGUGGGGAAGGGAGAAACAUUUAAACAAACUCCAAAAUAACAACGUACACAGCAAUAACCAGGUUUUAUAAGCAAACUUGAGGGUAAUCCAAGAUAUGAAAACUUAAAUUACCAUAAAGUACCAUUUUUUAACCUAUUGACUUAGCAAAAUUAUAUUUUAAAAUAUCCAGUGCUGGAAGGAUGCACUGGUACCAAUGCCAACAGAUCCUUUUCAAAAGCAAAUUGACAGUAUGACUCAAGAGCCUGAAGUGUUCACAUUCUUUGACUCCAUAAUUCCCUUUUCAGGUAUCCAUCCUAAUGAAAUUAGAUGUAAAAAGACAUGCAUUAUCUGAAAUAGCAUGAUAUAUCAGUUAGGACACUGAACUGUAUAAUUUGAGGACUAAUUAAAGAGACUCUUUGUAGAGAUGUGGGCCAGGUGUAGGGAACUCUAAGGAAUAGUGCAGUACCCAAAGGCUAGCAGGAACAGGUGUGUGUGUGUGUGUGUGUGUGUUUGCACAUGUGUGUGUGUGUUGCAGGGGGUGAGGGGACACGUAGGCACCCAGACAUGAAAAGGGGACUGGAGAGAGCAGUUACUGGAACCCACAGGCAGAUGGAGCCAUGUGGAAAGGGUCAUUCAACAAGAGCUGUGACCUUUAGUUGAGAGAAUUAUCCAGCCAGCAGUGACCCUGGAGACGGAGAGCCUGGGGAAUAAAUACCCCAGCAAUACUCUUCUCCCAUCCUCUGAUCUCCUGCCAGGGUCCCCAUUGGCUGAACCCAAUCAAAAGCCAGAGAGCAAUGGAGCCCAUUGAUACAGUCCAUACAAGUCAGCUUCAUAGGACCCAAAGCAGGGAGGACAAGGCUGGAGAGUGGAUCUGGAGGGUCAAAUGGAGGAUAUCCAGCACAAAAGCUUGUAACUAAAGUGGCAAAAAAACCAGAAACAACGGUAAUCUUACAUUAAUAGGGGAACAGUUAAUUAAAUUUUGUCACAGCCACUCAGUAGAAUAUUAUGCAGCCAGUAAAAGUGAUAAUUAGGAACACUUGUCAGCAACAUAAGUGUGAGCUUAUGGUAGAUGACAAUUUUUUUUUUUUUUUUUGAGAUGGAGUUUCGCUCUUGUCACCCAGGCUGGAGUGCAAUGGUGCUGUCUCGGCUCACUGCAACCUCCGCCUCCUGGGUUCAAGCCAUUAUCCUGCUUCAGCCUCCUGAGUAGCUGGGAUUAUAGGCAUG